UUAAGCCUAAUUAAGACUAAUUAAUCCAUCAUUAGCAAACAUUUACUGUAGCAACACAUUGUCAAAUCAUGGACUAAUUAGGUUUAAUAGAUUCGUCUCGCCGUUUAGAUUCGUCUUAUGUAAUGGGUUUUGUAAAUAGUCUACGUUUAAUACUCCUAAUUAGUAUCUAAACAUUCGAUGUGACGGGUGCUAAAAAUAAGUCAGUGGAAGAAAACGG
rnacentral:lncRNA from 1 species